GUUUUAAUAAUUUAAAAAAAAUAUUAAUCUUGUAAAUUAACAAUAAGGCCAACUUUUAAAACU
rnacentral:tRNA from 1 species